UACGUAGGGGGCAAGCGUUAUCCGGAUUUACUGGGUGUAAAGGGAGCGUAGACGGUGAAGCAAGUCUGAAGUGAAAGGCGGGGGCUCAACCCCCGGACUGCUCUGGAAACUAUGUUACUGGAGUGCAGGAGAGGUAAGCGGAAUUCCUAGUGUAGCGGUGAAAUGCGUAGAUAUUAGGAGGAACACCAGUGGCGAAGGCGGCUUACUGGACAGUGACUGACACUGAGGCUCGAAAGCGUGGGGAGCAAACAGG
rnacentral:rRNA from 1 species